rnacentral:misc_RNA from 1 species
GAUGAAGAACGUAGCGAAAUGCGAUAAGUAAUGUGAAUUGCAGAAUUCAGUGAAUCAUCGAAUCUUUGAACGCACAUUGCGCUCCCUGGUAUUCCGGGGAGCAUGCCUGUUCGAGCGUCAUUACAACCCUCAAGCUCUGCUUGGUGUUGGGCCCCGCCGCCCCGGCGGGCCCUAAAGUCAGUGGCGGUGCCGUCCGGCUCCGAGCGUAGUAAUUUUUCUCGCUUUGGAGGCCCGAGCGCGUGCUCGCCAUCAACCCCCAAUUUUUUUCAGGUUGACCUCGGAUCAGGUAGGGAUACCCGCUGAACUUAAGCAUAUCAAUAAGCGGAGGA